rnacentral:rRNA from 1 species
GACGAAGGGGGGCUAGCGUUGUUCGGAAUUACUGGGCGUAAAGCGCGUGUAGGCGGUUGUCCAAGUCGGGUGUGAAAGCCUUGAGCUCAACUCAAGAAAUGCACUCGAUACUGGGCGACUAGAGUGCCGGAGAGGAUAGUGGAAUUCCCAGUGUAGUGGUGAAAUACGUAGAGAUUGGGAAGAACACCAGUGGCGAAGGCGGCUAUCUGGACGGUUACUGACGCUAAGACGCGAAAGCGUGGGGAGCAAACAGG